rnacentral:rRNA from 1 species
CUGGAAUUGCUAGUAAUCACAGGUCAGCAUACUGUGGUGAAUACGUUCCCGGGCCUUGUACACACCGCCCGUCACACCAUGAGAGUUGAGAAUACCCGAAGCCCAUGUCAAAGUGGUCGAAGGUAGGCUUGAUGAUUGGGGUGAAGUCGUAACAAGGUAUC